rnacentral:rRNA from 1 species
GCUAUACAUGCAAAUAGAGUUCCGACCAGUGAUGGAAGGAAUGCUUUUAUUAGAUUCAAAACCAAUCGGUAGCGGGCUUGCCUUGCCGCCGUUUGACUUGAUGACUCUGAAUAACUUAGUGCUGAUCGCACGGUCUCGUACCGGCGACGCAUCUUUCAAAUGUCUGCCUUAUCAACUGUCGAUGGUAGUUUCUGCGACUACCAUGGUUGUUACGGGUAACGGGGAAUCAGGGUUCGAUUCCGGAGAGGGAGCCUGAGAAACGGCUACCACAUCCAAGGAAGGCAGCAGGCGCGCAAAUUACCCACUCCCGGCACGGGGAGGUAGUGACGAAAAAUAACGAUACGGGACUCAUCCGAGGCCCCGUAAUCGGAAUGAGUACACUUUAAAUCCUUUAACGAGGAUCUAUUAGAGGGCCAGUCUGGUGCCAGCAGCCGCGGUAAUUCCAGCUCUAAUAGCGUAUAUUAAAGUUGUUGCGGUUAAAAAGCUCGUAGUUGAAUCUGUGUCCCGCACUGUCGGUUCACCGCUCGCGGUGUUCAACUGGCAUGUCUGUGGGACGUCCUGCCGGUGGGUUUAGCCCGUCAAAAGGCGACCCAACUAAAAUCCUACCACGGUGCUCUUUACCGAGUGUCGAGGUGGGCCGGCACGUUUACUUUGAACAAAUUAGAGUGCUUAAAGCAGGCUCAUUCGCCUGAAUAUUGUGUGCAUGGAAUAAUGGAAUAGGACCUCGGUUCUAUUUUGUUGGUUUUCGGAAUGCCGAGGUAAUGAUUAAUAGGGACAACUGGGGGCAUUCGUAUUGCGACGUUAGAGGUGAAAUUCUUGGAUCGUCGCAAGACGAACAGAAGCGAAAGCAUUUGCCAAAUGUGUUUUCAUCAAUCAAGAACGAAAGUUAGAGGUUCGAAGGCGAUCAGAUACCGCCCUAGUUCUAACCAUAAACGAUGCCAGCUAGCGAUCCGCCGAAGUUCCUCCGAUGACUCGGCGGGCAGCUUCCGGGAAACCAAAGCAUUUGGGUUCCGGGGGAAGUAUGGUUGCAAAGCUGAAACUUAAAGGAAUUGACGGAAGGGCACCACCAGGAGUGGAGCCUGCGGCUUAAUUUGACUCAACACGGAAACCUCAC